GACGAACGCUGGCGGCGUGCCUAAUACAUGCAAGUAGAACGCUGAAAGAGGAGCUUUCUUCUCUUGAUGAUUUGCGCACGGGUGAGUAACGCGUAUGUAACCUGCCUGUUAGAGGGGGAUAACUAUUGGAAACGAUAGCUAAUACCGCAUAAGAGUAGAUGUUGCAUAACAUUUGCUUGAAAAGUGCAAUUGCAUCACUACCAGAUGGACCUGCGUUGUAUUAGCUAGUUGGUGGUGUAACAGCUCACCAAGGCGACGAUACAUAGCCGACCUGGGAGGGUGAUCGGCCACACUGGGAAUGAGACACCGCCCCGGAUUCUACGGGAGGGCGCAGUAGGGAAUUUUCGGCAAUGGACGGAAGUCUGACCGAGCAACGCCGGGUGAGUGAAGGAGGGUCUUGGAUCGGAAAGCUCCGUUGUAAGAGAAGAACGAGUGUGAGAGUGGAAAGUUCACACUGUGACGGUACCUUACCAGAAAGGGACGGCUAACUACGUG
rnacentral:rRNA from 1 species